GCCUCCGUGGUGUAGUAGUCAGCACGCUCGAUGUGCAUUCGAGAGGCCCGUGGUUCGAGUCCCACUGAGGGCA
rnacentral:tRNA from 1 species